UACGGGGGGGGCAAGCGUUGUUCGGAAUUACUGGGCGUAAAGGGCUCGUAGGCGGCCAACUAAGUCAGACGUGAAAUCCCUCGGCUUAACCGGGGAACUGCAUCUGAUACUGGAUGGCUUGAGUUCGGGAGAGGGAUGCGGAAUUCCAGGUGUAGCGGUGAAAUGCGUAGAUAUCUGGAGGAAUACCGGUGGCGAAGGCGGCAUCCUGGACCGACACUGACGCUGAGGAGCGAAAGCCAGGGGAGCAAACGGG
rnacentral:rRNA from 1 species